AUUGUUUAUACUAUUGUUUUAAUUCUAUUUUCAUCUAUCAUGUGCUAAUAUGACAACUUAUUAUCAUGUCAGGUUUUAAUGCAUGACUUCAUUAUAAGAUAUAAUGUCAUGGCACCUUGCAUUUUUGUUGAAUAUAGCUUACGCUUGGACUAGUCUCUUAUUUACCCAUAUUGGAGACAUACUUCAUUAAUAACCUAGCAAGAGUAAGGAGUUUGCAACUGGAACUCAAGUCUCGCAUUGAGGAGUUUGAGAAGCUUGACAAAUUCCAUAUGGAA